UGAUGAAUUCUCUGAGAACAUUUCCCAUUUCCCUUCCUGGGUGCACUGGAGAGCCCUGUCCUCCACGUUAAAGAGACUGAAUGCAGACCCAGUUUGACGUCCUCAGAACAGCACAUAGGAUGGAAUUAUGUUGCAAAACUCUGGAAGCCUCUGCCUGCCAUGCCCGCUCUGCUGUUGACCUACUGAAUGGAAACAUUUCCAGAAACAACUGCAGAGACAUCCAUGGGAAGGUAGCCUGGGGCACCUGGGCUCUCUUCUAAGCAUGAAGAAAAGACACUGCCAGAGACUCUGCAGCGUGAUGUCCUGUUGAAGGGAUGCUCUUGAGCAUUCUUAUCGGAAUACGGAGAACUUCGUUUCACUGAACCCCUUAAAGGACUCUUAGAUAAUCACAAACAAGGCCAAACUCCAUCAGUGCCUUAUGUGGCUUCUAUCAGAUGAAAAAUAUCCUUCAAAAGUUACUUUUUUUUCUCAACAUGACUGAAGAUAUUAAAGAGCUAUGAAACUGAGAAACAUUCCAGGACUUUUGGUCCCUUAAAAUAUGAAAAGUGGUUUGAAUAGUCACUUGCCGUUUUUAGCGUGUCUUGUCUAGAGUCACAGAUGCCUCCUCUUUCCCCCAGAGUCUGAUGCAACCCAUGAUGAGACCUACAUACAGUUUCCGUAGUGAGCCUGGCCAUAGAGCCUCAUGCUCUGAGCGCUGCAGACCCUCCCUGGGAAGAGCUCGCCUGGAAGGAAAUUACUCUGAGAUGAGCAUGAUGAUGCUGGGCCUUUGUCAUUUUUGAAGGACUCUCUUCUCUGGGCAAUGUGACAGUUUCCAAAGCAGCUUCCCUGCUGGGUACAAUAAUCAGAAGCUAUUUGAGGGAGUCCCCAGUGUGGCACCCAAGGGCUUUGACAAAUCGGACAGGAAAAGGUUGAAGAUGUGUGUCCUCACAUUUUCUCCUCAGGUGGAUAAGGAGAUUGUAGCUGGGAUUUUCAAAAGUCAGAAAAAAGACAUUCUUUCUCAGCUUUGGUCCCUGGAUGGGGCUACCAGGACAAUUUAGCCUGUCAUUUAGAAAAACAAGCCAGUCGAUAAUUCCACUGCACAGAUACCUACUAACAGCUGCAAUUAUAUGAACGUAGCAUAUCCAAAUGACCAUGAACUAGUGUAAAAGGCCCCCAGAUCUUAGCAGACUCUGAGACCUUAGCGCAACUAAUGCACUAUUCUGGCCUUAAAACCCAGCACAUAGACCCCAACAUUUGCCUCGGUGGGAAAAGGGUUUCCUGUGCAACCAUAAGGACCUGAGUUCGAGUCUUCAGCGCCCACAUCAGAAGCUGAACAUUUGCAGUACAUACCUGCAAUUCUGGCCGGGGAGGCAGAGCCAGGAGUAUCCAUCCCUAGGGCUUACUGUCAGCCAGUGGGAGACCUCGCUCAAAAACUAAGGUGGAGUAUGACUAAGGAAGACACUUAACAUUGUCUCGGCCUCUGUGUGCCUCCUUCCCUGGAUCCUGUUCUUAGGGGAAAGGGCUUCAGUUGUCAUCGAUAAGGUAUCAACUCUGGACUUUUCAUAGAUGACUUUUGCUCAUUUUUAGUAACUUCAUUGAGAUAGGUCAAUUAUAUUAUUUAAGAUCUACAUCUUGAUGUUUUAAAUAUGUGUAUGCAUUGUGAAAUUGUCAUACUCAAGCUAAUUAAUAUUAUUUUGUAUGGUCUUUAUUAUGCUGCGACAAAUCACUUCUUCUAAGUCUAGUUUCCUAGAAAUGUUUUUUGUGAAGAACUUGAAUUUUGUUGAUUUUUUUUUUCUGUAGCAAUUGGGAUGGUUGUGCAACAUUUAUCUUUCAUCUGGUUAAUGUGGCGUAUUACCUGCAGUGAUAUUUUGUUUAUGCUCUAGUGAAUAAAGCUUGCCUGGAGAUCAGAGGGCAGAGCUAUCCACUAGUAGCUACAGAGGCCAGACAGUGGUGGCUCACACCUUUAAUUCCAGCACUUAGGAGGAGGAAGCAGGAAGAUCAGGAGUUCAAGUCCACCCUGGGCUACAAGAGAUUGAUCCAGUCUAAAAGAGAAACAGAGCCAGGCAGUGGAGGCUCACGUCUUUGAUCCCAGCACGAGGAAGGUGGAGACAGUAAUACAAGGUGGGAGAAGAGAGGAGCUUGGCCCCUUUCCGUCUGAGGAUUCAGCAAAGGACCUCUGAGGUAAGAAUUACUACCAUCUCCCCAAUUUCACAGCUUGGAAAAACUGAGAGGCAGAUAAGUUACAGUAUGUUUUGAGUCACCCAGAAGCUUCCAGAACUGGAUCCUUGAUUUGAAGCCCCACCCUCCUCCGGAUUCUGCAUCAACAUAUUGGGUGGGUUCCCAUCUCUGUCUUCUCUGCUCUGCACCAGUGGUGACCUUGUGGGCCAGAGGCCCUGGCUGGCCCUGUGUGUGCUCAGCUGGUGGCCAAUGACUUUCAGAAUCAGAGAAGGAGGAAAUAGGGGCUCGGCAGGCCUGUGUUCUCGGGUCUUUCAAUAAAACAUGAUCUUCCUGCAGGCAGCCCAGCAGAGUCCCCAGAUUUCAUUACAUCAAGAACUCUCUCAGGGAUGUCCUCAGGAAGAGAAAGCUUCACUAUGCCCAGAGGGUGGCACCAUGGAGACAUGGGGUGAGGAGCUACCACAGAGAUGCAAAGUUGUUCCAGAGAUGUGGUAAGCCUGGAGAGAGUGUAGCUAACACCUCAGCACAGACUGGUGCACACAGGAAAUCAACAGAGAGUAUGGGAUGGUUCUCAAGGCAUCUUCAUGAGACGGACCAUCAUAUGAAC